GCUCAGGACGAACGCUGGCGGCGUGCCUAAUACAUGCAAGUAGAACGNUGAGGACUGGUGCUUGCACUGGUCUAAGGAGUUGCGAACGGGUGAGUAACGCGUAGGUAACCUACCUCAUAGCGGGGGAUAACUAUUGGAAACGAUAGCUAAUACCGCAUGACAAUAGGGUACACAUGUACCCUAUUUAAAAGGGGCAAAUGCUUCACUAUGAGAUGGACCUGCGUUGUAUUAGCUAGUUGGUAAGGUAACGGCUUACCAAGGCGACGAUACAUAGCCGACCUGAGAGGGUGAUCGGCCACACUGGGACUGAGACACGGCCCAGACUCCUACGGGAGGCAGCAGUAGGGAAUCUUCGGCAAUGGGGGGAACCCUGACCGAGCAACGCCGCGUGAGUGAAGAAGGUUUUCGGAUCGUAAAGCUCUGUUGUUAGAGAAGAACGGUAAUGGGAG
rnacentral:rRNA from 1 species